rnacentral:rRNA from 1 species
ACCGUACUGCAAACCGACUCAGGUGGGCGGGAAGAGCAUUCCAAGGCGCGUAGCCUCAGGCGCUCGGGAAAACGCUGGUUAAGGAACUCUGCAAAUUGGCCCCGUAACUUCGGGAGAAGGGGUGCCAUCGCAAGAUGGUCUCAGCAAAGCGGCACUAGCGACUGUUUACUAAAAACACAGGUCUCUGCGAACUCGUAAGAGGAUGUAUAGAGACUGACGCCUGCCCGGUACCGGUAAGUUAAUAAAGAGGGUUAGCUCUCGGGCGAAGCCAGCAAUUGAAGCUCCGGUAAAACGGCGGCCGUAACUAUGACGGUCCUAAGGUAGCGAAAUUCCUUGUCGGGUAAGUUCCGACCUGCAUGAAUGGCGUAACGACUGGUGCACUGUCUCAACCAGCGACCCGGUGAAAAUUGUAGUCGUGGUGAAGAUGCCACGUACCCGCAG